AUUGAACGCUGGCGGCAGGCCUAACACAUGCAAGUCGAGCGAGCGGCGGACGGGUGAGUAAUGUCUGGGAAACUUCCCGAUGGAGGGGGGUAACUACCGGAAACCGUAGCCAAUUCCGCGUAUUAUCAGAUCUGCCCAGUUGGGAUUCGCUAGUGGAGGGGGUAACGGCUCACCUAGGCGACGAUCCCUAGCUGGCCUGAGAGGCUGACCAGCCACACUGGAACUGAGACACGGUCCAGACUCCUACGGGAGGCAGCAGUAGGGAAUAUUGCACAAGGGGCGAAAGCCUGAUGCAGCCAUGCCGCGUGUGUGAAGAAGGCCUUCGGGUUGUAAAGCACUUUCAGCGGGGAGGCGUUACCCACAGAAUAAGCACCGGCUAACUUCGUGCCAGCAGCCGCGGUAAUAC
rnacentral:rRNA from 1 species